rnacentral:tRNA from 1 species
GCCGGAGUAGCUCAGGGGUAGAGCACCGGUUUUGUAAACCGGGUGGCGCGGGUUCGAAUCCCGCCUCCGGCU